CUCCGAAUGGUGUAGUUGGUUUAUCACGUCGCACUGUAAUUGUGCCCUAUGCAUCCAUGCGAAGGUCCCUAGUUCGAUUCUGGGUUCGGAGA